UAGCAUGUAAACUUGUGGCAAGUUUGAUUCUUCUUUGAUUUUUCAUUGCUGCGUCAAAUAUGACGAGGCAAGUUUGUGACAAGUUUGCUGCAAUAUUGUUAUGACAAAGAUGAUUAUUCAAGUUUGUAGCAACUUAUUGCUUCAAGCUUAGCUUUGCACAGCCCGCUUCGAUUCGUUUUUCGUUCGGCACCCCGACUGAUGUCCAGCCCACGACAACGAAAGUGUUGCCACCCGGAGGGAAAUUUCUGUGUUUGCGAGAAUUUUCAACAUACAAUUGAAAAAGUUAUCUCAAAAGGGAAUUUUUGCUCCAGUCCAAAUUGCACAAUAUUUAAAAAAAUCAAAAUAUUUGAAAAUAAUUCAACAUAUUUUCGCAGAUUUUGUAAAUAGGAGCGAAUUUUUUCAUAAAAGUGAGAAUUUUUAAGGUAAGUUGAGGGACAAAGCUUACUUGAUGGCUGGCAACACGGGAAAAAUAAUCUGCUAGCGUACGCGGCUACGCGGUGAUAGUUUGUUGUUGUGGUUAUGUUGAUAUUUUUCUUCAAGUUUUUUACAACUUAAAUUUUCCGUACAAUUCUCCGAGACUAUUACCUUAAUUAUUAUUACUAAGCUGAAGCCUAUUUUCUUCAUUGUUAAUAGACCAAACUGCAUGCUUACUGCAUUACAGAUUAGUACCUACUCAUUUUGCUCUGGUCAACUCUGGUGGCAUUGAGGUAGAGAGCUGAUAGACAAAACCAAGCAUCGGAAUCUGAAGCUAGGGUGUUUAAUGUAAGUUCCAAUAAAUAAUUUUAUGCAAUAGAUUGUAUUUUAGUCGAGUGAUUAAUAAAUAGUUGUAUAAAAUGGUA